rnacentral:lncRNA from 1 species
CUAUCUGAAUAUUUAGAUAAAGACCUGAUAAUUGCAGUUGAAGCUCAAUCAAGAUUUUAGAACUUUGGAGAUGAAGUUAAGCUUUAUUUAUCCAGAUUUAGUUCCCAAAGGACUCAAAACUACAGUAAAAUCAGAGACGGGCUGUGUAGAGCCCCUGAGCAUUCCUGUGAGUACCUGGGGGU